rnacentral:rRNA from 1 species
AUUGAACGCUGGCGGCAGGCCUAACACAUGCAAGUCGAACGGUAACAGGAAGCAGCUUGCUGCUUUGCUGACGAGUGGCGGACGGGUGAGUAAUGUCUGGGAAACUGCCUGAUGGAGGGGGAUAACUACUGGAAACGGUAGCUAAUACCGCAUAACGUCGCAAGACCAAAGAGGGGGACCUUAGGGCCUCUUGCCAUCGGAUGUGCCCAGAUGGGAUUAGCUAGUAGGUGGGGUAACGGCUCACCUAGGCGACGAUUCCUAGCUGGUCUGAGAGGAUGACCAGCCACACUGGAACUGAGACACGGUCCAGACUCCUACGGGAGGCAGCAGUGGGGAAUAUUGCACAAUGGGCGCAAGCCUGAUGCAGCCAUGCCGCGUGUAUGAAGAAGGCCUUCGGGUUGUAAAGUACUUUCAGCGGGGAGGAAGGGAGUAAAGUUAAUACCUUUGCUCAUUGACGUUACCCGCAGAAGAAGCACCGGCUAACUCCGUG